UACGUAGGUGACGAGCGUUAUCCGGAUUUACUGGGCGUAAAGCGCUUGUAGGUGGCUCUGUAAGUUGGGCGUGAAAACACCGGGCUUAACUCGGUGACGCCGUCCAAUACUGCUGGGCUGGAGGAUGUCAGAGGAAGGUGGAAUUCCUGGUGUAGUGGUGAAAUGCGUAGAUAUCAGGAGGAACACCCGUGGCGAAGGCGGCCUUCUGGGGCAUUCCUGACACUGAGAAGCGAAAGCUAGGGGAGCAAACAGGAUUAGAAACCCUGGUAGUCCUAGCCGUAAACGAUGGAUGCUAGGUGUUGGCGGACUUAACUCUGUCAGUGCCGAAGCUAACGCGUUAAGCAUCCCGCCUGGGAAGUACGAUCGCAAGAUUAAA
rnacentral:rRNA from 1 species